CAGGGCCGGAGCGGGGGACAAGGCCCGACUCACCUGCAACAGGAGAGCCACGAGCUGCAUCCGCUGGUGGCUGUCAAAACGCCUGUAGCUAAGGAGAGAUGAGGAGGCCACCCCAGCAGAGAAGGAUGAGUAGGAGGAAGCGGGAGGAUAGCCCUCACCCUGGUGCCACCGGAGGCAGGCAAGCAGAUUCCCAGCCUAUUUUGGACCAUGGUCGGACCUUCUUUAUAUUCAGAAAACAGGUUUGUCUUCUCUCAUUUCCUAAUGGCCUCCCUGUCCCACCCAGCGCACAGGAACCUGAAGCCCAGAGUCAGGCAGUUCCCAGGACGCAAGAACAAAGGGGAAGGUCAAAGGCCAGGUCUCCAUUCCCUUCUCCUUGAAGUUGUCCAGCUGCCAUCGCCCCCUCGGCCGCCCUGCCAACCCCCGAAGUUGGA